AAUAUAGCAAUAUGAGUGUCCUUAGAUUCGUAUUCUAACAUAGAUCGCAUAUUUUAUAGAUUUUGAUCGUUCAAAGGCUCUACACAAAGGGAAGACAUUAGUUUGAUUGUUCGUGGCACCCGCUCGGCAUUGAGAAUACGAUCCAGGCUCCAGUUCUACACCUCGUGGCUGAUACGCGAGGGUGACGUCUUUCAGUAAUUUAGGGUGAGCUACUUGGUCAUCCGUGGCCCCUGAAGGACCUCCUCUAUUUAUUUCUGUUUUUGUAUUGGACAGAAAAUAUGUAGCCUUCGGGUAUUUUCCGACUUAUAUUCCGUACUAUGUUAGCGCUCUUGUACCCUUUGACCAGAUUUUGGGGUUGUCGUGACAUUUCUAGUUAUGAUAAGUAUUUAAGACUUGAUAA